rnacentral:rRNA from 1 species
UGGGGAAUAUUGCACAAUGGGCGCAAGCCUGAUGCAGCCAUGCCGCGUGUAUGAAGAAGGCCUUCGGGUUGUAAAGUACUUUCAGCGGGGAGGAAGGCGAUAAGGUUAAUAACCUCAUCGAUUGACGUUACCCGCAGAAGAAGCACCGGCUAACUCCGUGCCAGCAGCCGCGGUAAUACGGAGGGUGCAAGCGUUAAUCGGAAUUACUGGGCGUAAAGCGCACGCAGGCGGUUUGUUAAGUCAGAUGUGAAAUCCCCGGGCUCAACCUGGGAACUGCAUCUGAUACUGGCAAGCUUGAGUCUCGUAGAGGGGGGUAGAAUUCCAGGUGUAGCGGUGAAAUGCGUAGAGAUCUGGAGGAAUACCGGUGGCGAAGGCGGCCCCCUGGACAAAGACUGACGCUCAGGUGCGAAAGCGUGGGGAGCAAACAGG